GGCCUGGUGGUGUAGUGGUAAUGCACCUGCUCUACAUCAGAUAGCGACGAAAGGCUUCAGCAGGGGAUCCUUGUUCGAAUCAAGGCCAGGCCA